rnacentral:rRNA from 1 species
UGCCCGCGUUAGAUUAGCUAGUUGGUAAGGUAAUGGCUUACCAAGGCGACGAUCUAUAGCUGGUCUGAGAGGAUGAUCAGCCACACUGGGACUGAGACACGGCCCAGACUCCUACGGGAGGCAGCAGUGGGGAAUAUUGGACAAUGGGGGCAACCCUGAUCCAGCCAUGCCGCGUGAGUGAUGACGGCCUUAGGGUUGUAAAGCUCUUUCAGCAGUGAAGAUAAUGACAUUAACUGCAGAAGAAGCCCCGGCUAACUUCGUGCCAGCAGCCGCGGUAAUACGAAGGGGGCUAGCGUUGUUCGGAAUCACUGGGCGUAAAGCGUACGUAGGCGGACUGAUCAGUCAGGGGUGAAAUCCCGGGGCUCAACCCCGGAACUGCCUUUGAUACUGUCAGUCUUGAGAUCGAGAGAGGUGAGUGGAACUCCGAGUGUAGAGGUGAAAUUCGUAGAUAUUCGGAAGAACACCAGUGGCGAAGGCGGCUCACUGGCUCGAUA